GUAUUGUCUUAACCUAAUGUGAUUGGGUUUGAACCUAUAAUUAAAUAGGUGACUUAUCUAAUUUUUUUGGAACUAUUUCAUAUCAGAUCAACCUCCUUCAUGCCAAUCUACACCGCAAGAGAAAAAAAUGCUGCCCCAUUUAAUUUUGCGUUUAAGAGGAGAAGUCCUUUUUGGUUUACUUAUCUUAAUUCCUUCUUUUAUUUCACGUGUUUCCUUUAAUCCCAUGCGCCAUCUGAUGACCCUUGGGAUAUAUGGGUGCAGAAGAGAAGGAAGAGUCCUUCUUUGGGAAG
rnacentral:lncRNA from 1 species